rnacentral:rRNA from 1 species
AUUGAACGCUGGCGGCAGGCCUAACACAUGCAAGUCGAGCGGAGCGGCGGACGGGUGAGUAAUGCCUAGGAAUCUGCCUGGUAGUGGGGGAUAACGUCCGGAAACGGGCGCUAAUACCGCAUACUAUAAGAUGCGCCUCGGUCGGAUUAGCUAGUUGGUGGGGUAAAGGCCUACCAAGGCGACGAUCCGUAACUGGUCUGAGAGGAGGAUCAGCCACACUGGAACUGAGACACGGUCCAGACUCCUACGGGAGGCAGCAGUGGGGAAUAUUGCACAAUGGGCGAAAGCCUGAUGCAGCCAUGCCGCGUGUAUGAAGAAGGCUUUCGGGUUGUAAAGCACUUUUAGCGGGGAGGCGUUACCCGAAGAAGAAGCAACGGCUAACUACGUGCCAGCAGCCGCGGUAAUUC